UACGGACUGUGCAAACGUUAUUCGGAAUCACUGGGCUUAAAGAGUCCGUAGGCGGCUUGUUAGGUGAGGUGUGAAAUCCCUCGGCUCAACCGAGGAAUUGCGCUUCAAACCGGCAAGCUAGAGGAGGAUAGAGGUGGGCGGAACUGAUGGUGGAGCGGUGAAAUGCGUUGAUAUCAUCAGGAACACCGGAGGCGAAGGCGGUCCACUGGGUCCUUUCUGACGCUGAGGGACGAAAGCUAGGGGAGCGAACGGG
rnacentral:rRNA from 1 species